GAUGAACGCUGGCGGCGUGCCUAAUACAUGCAAGUCGAGCGAACAGACGAGGAGCUUGCUCCUUCGACGUUAGCGGCGGACGGGUGAGUAACACGUAGGUAACCUACCUAUAAGACUGGGAUAACUUCGGGAAACCGGAGCUAAUACCGGAUAAUAUUUCGAACCGCAUGGUUCGAUAGUGAAAGAUGGCUUUGCUAUCACUUAUAGAUGGACCUGCGCCGUAUUAGCUAGUUGGUAAGGUAACGGCUUACCAAGGCAACGAUACGUAGCCGACCUGAGAGGGUGAUCGGCCACACUGGAACUGAGACACGGUCAAGACUCCUACGGGAGGCAGCAGUAGGGAAUCUUCCGCAAUGGGCGAAAGCCUGACGGAGCAACGCCGCGUGAGUGAUGAAGGUCUUCGGAUCGUAAAACUCUGUUAUUAGGGAAGAACAAACGUGUAAGUAACUGUGCACGUCUUGACGGUACCUAAUCAGAAAGCCACGGCUAACUACGUG
rnacentral:rRNA from 1 species